rnacentral:lncRNA from 1 species
GGAAUGACUGCUUUCCUCCCUGCUAUCCAUGCAGACCCCCAGAGUCACUGCUGUUAGGAGGACACAAGCUCAAAGCUCAGCAAGGUUACGCGGUCACUGUCCCCAUGACCAUCUUCCCUAGCAGGUAUUUGGCUGGGGCUGUUCUCAGCAGGCAGCUGGGAUGUGGCCACCCUGUUUUCCAGAUAAUGAUUGGUCCAUGGCCAUCAUGCCAUGCCAGCUGGCCUGAGAAUCACGGAAUGGACUGCAGCCUUCUGCCUUCACUGAUACAGGCAUCGCCUUGGGCUGUGCUGGCUGGGAGCAAAGGAGCUGGGCUAUAAUUGUUGUUUACUAUCCACCUCUUCAUUGCAAAGCAGAGAGCUUUGAAUGAUGGUGCAGAAAUUGUUCAGUGAAGAGAGAGUGAAGAAGGCAUUUGGAUAUCACCAUGACUGCUGCUUUCAAGAGAAGAGUAAUUUGUCUAAUACACAAUCUGUCAUCCUCCCUUCAUGCUGAAAAAGUGAGGAGCUGCUGGAAACUAACCACACAUAUGGUGACAUGGCUCUGCCAUUAGCUUGGGCAGGAGACAAAUCUCCCUACAUCACUGGCAUGCAGCACUGGAAACACUUAUCUCUUGGGCUCAUGCUAAGGGCUGGCCAAGAUGCACUCUUCUUUCCACCGGUGCUGCUGUGACAACAGAGCCUCUUCCAUAAUUUCUGCUAAGCUUGUGAUGCAGCCUGAACUCAGUGGACGGGCCAGGUUACAUCAUGGGAGAGCAGAAGGACAAAACUCGUUCGUUAGUUUGGAAGCCUGUUCUGGAGACAGACACGAUCACUCCACACGACUCCUUUCCUUGGGAAGACUGACCUCACACUUGGGAAGAAAGGUGGCAUUUUUAAUAGCUUUUUUUUUUUCUUUUUUUUUUUUUUCAUUUUAUAAGUUUUUGAGAUUUUUUUAGAUAUUCUAUUUUUUUAAUAUAUACAAAUUCAGUAUUUUAAAUCUCUCUAUGCAGCUGUAGAUUGGGGAAGAGACAUAAAAUACCAUUUACUCAGUCAAGAGUCUUUUCCAUUUUUUCUUUGUGCUUUGUUUAUUUAACUUCUGUAUUGUAUUUUGGUCUAAAUGGACCAAAACACUGGCAAAUACUGUGAUCCCUUGACCCAAAUUGGCAGCACAGGCUACACUGAAGGUAAGGCCAUCUUCCCCAAAGCCUGUGAAUGCUCUGGAUUCCUUUCUCUUCCCAGGUAUGGGCUGCAUGUUUUGAAAAG